ACGCACGCUGGCGGCGUGCUUAACACAUGCAAGUCGAACGGAAAGGCCCUGCUUUUGUGGGGUGCUCGCGUGGCGAACGGGUGGGUAACACGUGAGUAACCUGCCCUUGACUUUGGGAUAACUUCAGGAAACUGGGGCUAAUACCGGAUAGGAGCUCCUGCUGCAUGGUGGGGGUUGGAAAGUUUCGGCGGUUGGGGAUGGACUCGCGGCUUAUCAGCUUGUUGGUGGGGUAGUGGCUUACCAAGGCUUUGACGGGUAGCCGGCCUGAGAGGGUGACCGGCCACAUUGGGACUGAGAUACGGCCCAGACUCCUACGGGAGGCAGCAGUGGGGAAUAUUGCACAAUGGGCGGAAGCCUGAUGCAGCAACGCCGCGUGCGGGAUGACGGCCUUCGGGUUGUAAACCGCUUUCGCCUGUGACGAAGCGUGAGUGACGGUAAUGGGUAAAGAAGCACCGGCUAACUACGUG
rnacentral:rRNA from 1 species